UACGUAGGUGGCAAGCGUUGUCCGGAUUUACUGGGCGUAAAGAGCGCGCAGGCGGUCGUUCAAGUCGCGUGUGAAAGCCCCCGGCUCAACUGGGGAGGGUCACGCGAUACUGAUCGACUCGAAGGCAGGAGAGGGUAGUGGAAUUCCCGGUGUAGUGGUGAAAUGCGUAGAUAUCGGGAGGAACACCAGUGGCGAAGGCGGCCGCCUGGGCCAGUCCUGACGCUGAGCCGCGAAAGCGUGGGGAGCGAUCCGG
rnacentral:rRNA from 1 species